CCCUACCUGAGCCUCACCAUGCGUCGACUUCUCACUACGCUCGAUUAACCCCGAUUGCAGGAGAGAGAAAGAGAGAGAGGGAAAGUGAGUAGAGAAAGAGAGAAAGCUCGGAGGUAGCCGCGCUCCUCUAAUGGCGAAAUCGAAGACGAAGCAUCUCUCGUACAUCUCCUUCCCCUCUCAGAUCAUCCCCGCGCUCUCUUACUCCACCCUCCAAUCGCUCGUCAUCUCCCCUAAGAAUCUCCUCUCCUCCUCUACCUCCUCCCGAUUUCGGAUCAAUCGCAUCGUCUCCUCGAACCCUAGGAUCCUCUUCCUUCUCCCAGCCCUAGCUUUCCUCGGAACCCUCCGCCUCGGCCCGGUAAUCCCCUUCUCCCCAUCCCCUGGGCCCAGGUCGGCGUGCGAUCAUCGUCGUCGUCGUCCUCGUUUCCGGCGGCGCAGGGGGAGUUUUGGAGGCAACCGGAUGGGAUGAGGUACCGGCCGUGCCUAAGCUUCAGCGAGGAGUACCGGGAGGAGCCGCCGGAGGGUCGCCAAAAGUACCUGCUGGUCGUCUUUAAUUCAAUUUCGUUACUCAUUUUCUAUUCUUUCUUUGAGUCUUUUUAAUCCAUGUUUUGUUUUCUUUUUUUUUUUUAUUUUUUUUAUGGUAUUUUUAAUUCAUUAGAAUAGAGAGAGAUCGGAAAUUUGCUUCUUGGGUUGGAGGAUCUGAUUCUGCAGUAGUGGAGAUUCUCGACAGAUCGGAGAUCUCGCAUCCAUUCUCUUCGAAUCCUGUUCAGGUAUCCUAUAGAUAUGCAGCAGGACGAAGAACUGCACUGCUACUCGAGCGGCACGCUUCUUGCCUUGCAAGCUCUCAUCUUUUGCAUUCUAGAGUUCUGGGACAAUAAUGAUGGAACCUUUUCAUUUGGAAAUGAUAUCAAUCAGGUACUAAUUGUGUUACUCUCUUUGUGAGUCUCCUGACUGAAAAUGGCAACACUAAGGAUGACCUAAGGCUCCCAACUGAUGAGAGCCUGCUCAUGCAGAUCAAAGAUGGAUUUGUUGAAGGGAAGGAUCUGGUGGUGAGCGUGAUGUCCACAAUGGGCGAAGAACAGAUCUGUUCUCUCAAGGACAUUGGGCCUAAGUAGUCGCCCAUCAUCUUCUGUCUGAUAGUUGAAAGUCGAGAAAAGGUUGGAGACAAUGACUAGGGUGACUCUUGUGAUGCAGUUCGUGUAUCUGUUCUUGUAUGUAUAGAUGGCUCGAGCACUUAGAAUUUGGAAUUUUUUCGAGAUAAUAGAUGUUUACCGUCGUUUAGAGUCGUUUAGAAUUUAUUAUUGUUUGGCUGGAAUUCAAACAAGCAUUUUGUAGUUGAAACUCAUGUAUGAAAUUUAUUUUUAAUAUUGAAACUGUGAUUUGUCGCAAA